rnacentral:rRNA from 2 species
GAUCUCUUGGUUCUGGCAUCGAUGAAGAACGCAGCGAAAUGCGAUACGUAGUGUGAAUUGCAGAAUUCAGUGAAUCAUCGAAUCUUUGAACGCACAUUGCGCCCUUUGGUAUUCCAAAGGGCAUGCCUGUUCGAGCGUCAUUUGUACCUUCAAGCUU